AUCACAAUUUCAACUAAUUAUUAGUUGAAUUUCAAUAAGAUAGUUUGUCCAAAGCCCUCAGAUCUCAUAGCUUAACAAAUCAUCUGCGGUUUUCUUCACAGGUUUCAUUCACAACCUUCAAGCAAUAAUUCCAUUCCAUUCACAAACACACACACACACACACACAGAGAAAGAGAGAUAGUGACAUAGGAAGAGAGAGAGAGAGAGAGAGAGACGCAUAUCAGGUUGUGAACAAAACCGUGUAACCGUUCAAUGCUUUUAUUGAUACAUCACUGAGCAGGACAACAAACAAUUAACAAAAUUAUCGUUAUCAAUGUUAAAUAACCUUGAAUUUUUACAGUUUUGAUUUUGAGUUACUGUUAAUUUAAUGAUGAAAAACCCUAAAAUUUUCAGUUUUAAUUCUGACUUAAUUUAAUGUUAAAAAACCUAUUUUUCAGUUCUGAUUUAAAGUUACUAGUAAAACAAGUACAAUGUAACUAACAUAUUCACCAUAUAUAAGAGAAACAAAAACUUGAAUUUUGCAAAAUCGCCUUUGAAAUAUAAGUUACAUAUAAGUCAAAUACACAAAAAUAACAUCACUACACAUUAAACACGUUAAUAAAAUUUUAUUACAGUUUGAUUCCGAGUUAUCAAUUUAAAUUUAAUGUUAAGAACAAAGGAAAUACAAAUUAGAAUGUAAGAAAGAAAUAAACAAGGCAAUGGUGCACAUGACUAUAAACAAACCAAUGUAGCCACUCAAUAGUUUAUUUUUCCAUCAUUGGGCAGAAAAAACAAACAAGGCAUAAGAUAUUGGCUUUAAGUAUCAGAAUUUCAAGUUCAUUGGUUCAAGACUAUUUAUUUGAAGUUUUAAAACAGAAAAAAUAUUACAGAACCCCACUGGAAAAAUUCAAAUGGAUCGGAACAUAUGUAAACCAAAAGUACAGCUUUUCAGAAAAGAAAAGAUGGAAGUUAAAAAACCAAGAAAUUCCACCACAAUUUAAAACAAAUGCUGAAACGGCAACUUAAAAAGGAAGAUUAAUGAAAAAUAUAUAAAUUAGAUCAGAUAAAGUUUUCAAGGCUACGCAUUUCCAUCAAUAGCGCAGUAUUAAACUGCUCAGAGCCCAGUGCAUGUCAUCACAUCUUACACACCCAUAGAACACUUCAAUCUUAUUAAAGAAACACAGUUUAACUUCAAAUAAAAUUUCACCACAUUCACGAGUAAAUUUUUUUUGAAAUUAUCUUAAUUCGAUUGACAUUCAAUGAAGGAAUAAAUGGAAUCAUGGAGGGAUCUUGAAUCGAAGGCAUCAAAGAACUUGGUAUUAAGAGUUUAGGGUCAGAUUAAGCUUUCUAGGCUACACAUUUCCAUCAAAAAGUACAGUAAUAAACUGCUCAGAGCCCAGUGCAUAUAUCAUCAUUCACUAAAACUAAAAACAAUCAACAAAACAUAGAAACGGAACACAAAACAUAAAAUAAGCAAACAAUGAAAUGUGACAGUGCAUUAGGAUCAAAUCAAAAACACUAAAUUGGAAACUUCAAAGACAAACAUAUAAAAAACUGUCAUAUGAAAACUGAAGAGAAUCAUCUAAAUACUAAUUUCCAAGUGUAAAUUUGGAAUUUAGAAAAACAGUAAAGGAUUAUACAAUUCAUCACAAUUUCAACUAAUUAUUAGUUGAAUUUCAAUAAGAUAGUUUGUCCAAAGCCCUCAGAUCUCAUAGCUUAACAAAUCAUCUGCGGUUUUCUUCACAGGUUUCAUUCACAACCUUCAAGCAAUAAUUCCAUUCCAUUCACAAACACACACACACACACACACACAGAAAGAGAGAUAGUGACAUAGGAAGAGAGAGAGAGAGAGAGAGAGAGAGAGAGAGAGACGCAUAUCAGGGUGUGAACAAAACCGUGUAACGGUUCAAUGCUUUUAUUGAUACAUCACUGAGCAGGACAACAAACAAUUAACAAAAUUAUCGUUAUCAAUGUUAAAUAACCUUGAAUUUUUACAGUUUUGAUUUUGAGUUACUGUUAAUUUAAUGAUGAAAAACCCUAAAAUUUUCAGUUUUAAUUCUGACUUAAUUUAAUGUUAAAAAACCUAUUUUUCAGUUCUGAUUUAAAGUUACUAGUAAAACAAGUACAAUGUAACUAACAUAUUCACCAUAUAUAAGAGAAACAAAAACUUGAAUUUUGCAAAAUCGCCUUUGAAAUAUAAGUUACAUAUAAGUCAAAUACACAAAAAUAACAUCACUACACAUUAAACACGUUAAUAAAAUUUUAUUACAGUUUGAUUCCGAGUUAUCAAUUUAAAUUUAAUGUUAAGAACAAAGGAAAUACAAAUUAGAAUGUAAGAAAGAAAUAAACAAGGCAAUGGUGCACAUGACUAUAAACAAACCAAUGUAGCCACUCAAUAGUUUAUUUUUCCAUCAUUGGGCAGAAAAAACAAACAAGGCAUAAGAUAUUGGCUUUAAGUAUCAGAAUUUCAAGUUCAUUGGUUCAAGACUAUUUAUUUGAAGUUUUAAAACAGAAAAAAUAUUACAGAACCCCACUGGAAAAAUUCAAAUGGAUCGGAACAUAUGUAAACCAAAAGUACAGCUUUUCAGAAAAGAAAAGAUGGAAGUUAAAAAACCAAGAAAUUCCACCACAAUUUAAAACAAAUGCUGAAACGGCAACUUAAAAAGGAAGAUUAAUGAAAAAUAUAUAAAUUAG
rnacentral:lncRNA from 1 species